rnacentral:rRNA from 1 species
GAGCACGUAGGUGGGUUUGUAAGUCAGAUGUGAAAGCCUUCUGUUCAACGGAAGAAUUGCAUCUGAAACUGCGAGUCUUGAGUGUAGGAGGGGAGAAUGGAACUUCUGGUGGAGCGGUGAAAUGCGUAGAUAUCAGAAGGAACUCCGGCGGCGAAAGCGAUUCUCUGGCCUAUUACUGACACUCAGUGUGCGAAAGCUAGGGGAGCAAACGGGAUUAGAUACCCCGGUAGUCCUAGCCGCAAACGAUGGGCACUAAGUAGAGGGGUUUU